UACGAAGGAUGCAAGCGUUAUCCGGAUUCAUUGGGUUUAAAGGGAGCGUAGGCGGACUUAUAAGUCAGUGGUGAAAUCUCUGGGCUUAACUCAGAAACUGCCAUUGAUACUGUAGGUCUAGAGUACAUUUGCUGUGGGCGGAAUAUGACAUGUAGUGGUGAAAUACUUAGAUAUGUCAUAGAACACCGAUUGCGAAGGCAGCUCACAAAAAUGUAACUGACGCUGAGGCUCGAAAGUGCGGGGAUCAAACAGG
rnacentral:rRNA from 1 species